AUUGAACGCUGGCGGCAUGCUUUACACAUGCAAGUCGAGCGGCAGCGCGGGGCAACCUGGCGGCGAGCGGCGAACGGGUGAGGAAUACAUCGGAACGUACCCGAGAGUGGGGGAUAACGCCGCGAAAGCGGCGCUAAUACCGCAUAUUCUCUAUGGAGGAAAGUGGGGGACCGCAAGGCCUCACGCUCACGGAGCGGCCGAUGUCCGAUUAGCUAGUUGGUGGGGUAAAGGCUUACCAAGGCGACGAUCGGUAGCUGGUCUGAGAGGAUGAUCAGCCACACUGGGACUGAGACACGGCCCAGACUCCUACGGGUGGCAGCAGUGGGGAAUUUUGGACAAUGGGGGCAACCCUGAUCCAGCCAUGCCGCGUGAGUGAAGAAGGCCUUCGGGUUGUAAAGCUCUUUCGGUGGGAACGAAAUGGCGCGGGAUAACACCUCGCGUCGAUGACGGUACCCACAGAAGAAGCACCGGCUAACUACGUGCCAGCCGCCGCCGUAAAAC
rnacentral:rRNA from 1 species